CCCUUAGACGUUCUGGGCCGCACGCGCGCUACACUGACCAGUGCAACAAGCAUCCGUCCUUGGCCGACAGGCCCGGGCAAUCUUUGAACGCUGGUCGUGAUGGGGAUAGACUUUUGCAAUUUUUGGUCUUCAACGAGGAAUACCUAGUAAACGCAAGUCAUCAACUUGCAUUGAUUACGUCCCUGCCCUUUGUACACACCGCCCGUCGCACCUACCGAUUGAAUGGUCCGGUGAAGCCUCCGGAUUGGCGCGCACCUCGGUGCCGCCGAGAAGUUGGCUAAACCUUACCAUUUAGAGGAAGGUGAAGUCGUAACA
rnacentral:rRNA from 1 species